rnacentral:rRNA from 1 species
UACGUAGGCAGCGAGCGUUGUUCGGAGUUACUGGGCGUAAAGGGUGUGUAGGCGGUUCUUUAAGUUUGGUGUGAAAUCUCCCGGCUCAACUGGGAGGGUGCGCCGAAUACUGAGGGACUAGAGUGCGGGAGAGGAAAGUGGAAUUCCUGGUGUAGCGGUGAAAUGCGUAGAUAUCAAGAGGAACACCUGCGGCGAAGGCGGGUUGCUGGGCCGACACUGACGCUGAUGCGCGAAAGCUAGGGGAGCGAACGGG